rnacentral:rRNA from 1 species
UACAGAGGGUGCGAGCGUUAAUCGGAAUUACUGGGCGUAAAGCGCACGUAGUCGGCUUUGCAAGUCGGGUGUGAAACCUCCAGCUCAACCUGGAGACGCCACUCGAUACUUCUUUGACUUGAGUUCGGUAGGGGUAAGCGGAAUUCCUGGUGUAGCGGUGAAAUGCGCAGAUAUCAGGAGGAACACCGACGGCGAAGGCAGCUUACUGGGGCCGAAUACUGACGCUGAGGAGCGAAAGCGUGGGGAGCGAACAGG